AUGAUGGGGAGCCUCUGCGGGAGGCGGCCGCGGGCGGAGACGCGCCACCCGGUGUACCGCGGCGUGCGGUUCCGGGCGGGGAAGUGGGUGUCGGAGAUCCGGGAGCUGCGCAAGCACACCAGGAUCUGGCUCGGCACCUACCCGACGCCCGAGAUGGCCGCCGCGGCGUACGACGCGGCCGCAUUGGCCCUGCGUGGCGCGGGGACGGCGCUCAACUUCCCAGACGCGGCAAGGUCGCGCCCCGCGCCGGCGUCCAUGUCCGCCGACGAUGUCCGGGCUGCGGCGGCCGCUGCCGCCGCGUCCGCGAUGGCCAGCACCUGGGCUCCUCAGCGCAGCGACCAAUGCUACGGCGAUCAGCUGCAUGCAGGCGAGCAGGACAGGCGUGACGACGCGAUCGGCGUCGUGGACGAGGACGACGUGUUCGAGAUGCCGCGGCUGAUGGUGAGCAUGGCGGAGGGGCUGAUGAUCAGCCCGCCGGUGCUGGGCACACCGGCGGCGGACGGUUGCUCGGCGGCGUCGUACUACGCGGAAGCUGACGAUGAGGACGCCGUGAGCUUGUGGGAUCACUCUUGA
rnacentral:rRNA from 1 species